rnacentral:rRNA from 1 species
CCCUUAGAUGUUCUGGGCCGCACACGCGCUACAAUGGUGAAUUCAACAAGUCAACCAAAGCCGAUAGGUGGAGGUAAACUCGUAGUAUUCGCCGUGAUGGGGAUAGACCCUUGUAAUUAUUGGUCUCCAACGAGGAAUUCCUAGUAGACGCAAGUCAUCAACUUGCAUCGAUUACGUCCCUGCCCUUUGUACACACCGCCCGUCGCACCUACCGAUUGGGUGUGCUGGUGAAAUGUUCGGAUCGGCCGUUUGUCGCGGUUUCCGCGUCAUGUGGCUGAGAAGUUCAUUAAACCCUCCCACCUAGAGGAAGGAGAAGUCGUAACA